GACGAAGGAUGCAAGCGUUAUCCGGAUUCAUUGGGUUUAAAGGGUGCGUAGGCGGACCAGUAAGUCAGUGGUGAAAUCUCUUUGCUUAACAAAGAAACUGCCAUUGAUACUGCUAGUCUAGAGUAUAGAUGACGUUGGCGGAAUAUGACAUGUAGUGGUGAAAUACUUAGAUAUGUCAUAGAACACCGAUUGCGAAGGCAGCUAACGAAAACUAUAACUGACGCUGAGGCACGAAAAGUGCGGGGGAUCAAACAGG
rnacentral:rRNA from 1 species